rnacentral:rRNA from 1 species
AGACCCGAAACCCGGUGAUCUAGCCAUGGGCAGGUUGAAGGUUGGGUAACACUAACUGGAGGACCGAACCGACUAAUGUUGAAAAAUUAGCGGAUGACCUGUGGCUGGGGGUGAAAGGCCAAUCAAACCGGGAGAUAGCUGGUUCUCCCCGAAAGCUAUUUAGGUAGCGCCUCGUGAAUUCAUCUCCGGGGGUAGAGCACUGUUUCGGCUAGGGGGCCAUCCCGGCUUACCAACCCGAUGCAAACUGCGAAUACCGGAGAAUGUUAUCACGGGAGACACACGGCGGGUGCUAACGUCCGUCGUGAAGAGGGAAACAACCCAGACCGCCAGCUAAGGUCCCAAAGUCAUGGUUAAGUGGGAAACGAUGUGGGAAGGCCCAGACAGCCAGGAUGUUGGCUUAGAAGCAGCCAUCAUUUAAAGAAAGCGUAAUAGCUCACUGGUCGAGUCGGCCUGCGCGGAAGAUGUAACGGGGCUAAACCAUGCACCGAAGCUGCGGCAGCGAACGUAUCACUUAAAGCGAUUCAGCGGGUUACGAUUGACGGAGCGAAGCGACGUCAAAGCGUAUACAAAGUCGAGUCGGUUUAAGGAUACGUUCGUUGGGUAGGGGAGCGUUCUGUAAGCCUGUGAAGGUGUGUCGUGAGGCAUGCUGGAGGUAUCAGAAGUGCGAAUGCUGACAUAAGUAACGAUAAAGCGGGUGAAAAGCCCGCUCGCCGGAAGACCAAGGGUUCCUGUCCAACGUUAAUCGGGG